UGUGAUUUUUGGUGUUAUGGU
rnacentral:siRNA from 1 species